rnacentral:rRNA from 1 species
ACGCUCGACACCUACGGGGGCAGCAGUCGGGAAUAUUGCGCAAUGGAGGAAACUCUGACGCAGUGACGCCGCGUGCAGGAAGAAGGUUUUCGGAUUGUAAACUGCUUUAGACAGGGAAGAGGAAGGACAGUACCUGUAGAAUAAGCUCCGGCUAACUACGUGCCUAGCAGCCGACGGUAAUCUGAGGCGGGCUGGACAAGGC